AUUUGUAGCCUGUGUUGGGCCAAAGAAAGCCUGCUGGUCUGACUGCCCACGUGAGUCAGCAGAAGAGCUGCUUAUCUCCCGCAUGGUCCGAGCGUCUGACACUUCCAGGGAAGAGGAAUAGUUGCUCAGACACUGGAAUUUCCUUUGCUGCAGUUGAGAGAACCCGUCAAGAAAAAGAAUUGCAUCGUUGUGUGUGUGUAUUGAAU
rnacentral:lncRNA from 1 species